rnacentral:rRNA from 1 species
GGGCCUGCGCAGCUACACAUGCAGUCGAGCGGUAGCACAGAGAGCUUGCUCUCGGGUGACGAGCGGCGGACGGGUGAGUAAUGUCUGGGAAACUGCCUGAUGGAGGGGGAUAACUACUGGAAACGGUAGCUAAUACCGCAUAACGUCGCAAGACCAAAGUGGGGGACCUUCGGGCCUCAUGCCAUCAGAUGUGCCCAGAUGGGAUUAGCUGGUAGGUGGGGUAACGGCUCACCUAGGCGACGAUCCCUAGCUGGUCUGAGAGGAUGACCAGCCACACUGGAACUGAGACACGGUCCAGACUCCUACGGGAGGCAGCAGUGGGGAAUAUUGCACAAUGGGCGCAAGCCUGAUGCAGCCAUGCCGCGUGUGUGAAGAAGGCCUUCGGGUUGUAAAGCACUUUCAGCGGGGAGGAAGGCGGUGAGGUUAAUAACCUCACCGAUUGACGUUACCCGCAGAAGAAGCACCGGCUAACUCCGUGCCAGCAGCCGCGGUAAUACGGAGGGUGCAAGCGUUAAUCGGAAUUACUGGGCGUAAAGCGCACGCAGGCGGUCUGUCAAGUCGGAUGUGAAAUCCCCGGGCUCAACCUGGGAACUGCAUUCGAAACUGGCAGGCUAGAGUCUUGUAGAGGGGGGUAGAAUUCCAGGUGUAGCGGUGAAAUGCGUAGAGAUCUGGAGGAAUACCGGUGGCGAAGGCGGCCCCCUGGACAAAGACUGACGCUCAGGUGCGAAAGCGUGGGGAGCAAACAGGAUUAGAUACCCUGGUAGUCCACGCUGUAAACGAUGUCGAUUUGGAGGUUGUGCCCUUGAGGCGUGGCUUCCGGAGCUAACGCGUUAAAUCGACCGCCUGGGGAGUACGGCCGCAAGGUUAAAACUCAAAUGAAUUGACGGGGGCCCGCACAAGCGGUGGAGCAUGUGGUUUAAUUCGAUGCAACGCGAAGAACCUUACCUGGUCUUGACAUCCACAGAACUUUCCAGAGAUGGAUUGGUGCCUUCGGGAACUGUGAGACAGGUGCUGCAUGGCUGUCGUCAGCUCGUGUUGUGAAAUGUUGGGUUAAGUCCCGCAACGAGCGCAACCCUUAUCCUUUGUUGCCAGCGGUUAGGCCGGGAACUCAAAGGAGACUGCCAGUGAUAAACUGGAGGAAGGUGGGGAUGACGUCAAGUCAUCAUGGCCCUUACGACCAGGGCUACACACGUGCUACAAUGGCAUAUACAAAGAGAAGCGACCUCGCGAGAGCAAGCGGACCUCAUAAAGUAUGUCGUAGUCCGGAUUGGAGUCUGCAACUCGACUCCAUGAAGUCGGAAUCGCUAGUAAUCGUAGAUCAGAAUGCUACGGUGAAUACGUUCCCGGGCCUUGUACACACCGCCCGUCACACCAUGGGAGUGGGUUGCAAAAGAAGUAGGUAGCUUAACCUUCGGGAGGGCGCUACCACUUGGAUCAGUCG